UACAGAGGUCCCAAGCGUUGUUCGGAUUCAUUGGGCGUAAAGGGUGCGUAGGCGGCGCGGUAAGUCGGGUGUGAAAUCUCGGGGCUUAACUCCGAAACUGCAUUCGAUACUGCGGUGCUUGAGGACUGGAGAGGAGACUGGAAUUCAUGGUGUAGCAGUGAAAUGCGUAGAGAUCAUGAGGAAGACCAGUGGCGAAGGCGGGUCUCUGGACAGUUCCUGACGCUGAGGCACGAAGGUCAGGGGAGCAAACGGG
rnacentral:rRNA from 1 species